rnacentral:rRNA from 1 species
AUUGAACGCUGGCGGCAGGCCUAACACAUGCAAGUCGAGCGGAUGAAGGGAGCUUGCUCCCGGAUUCAGCGGCGGACGGGUGAGUAAUGCCUAGGAAUCUGCCUGGUAGUGGGGGAUAACGUCCGGAAACGGGCGCUAAUACCGCAUACGUCCUGAGGGAGAAAGUGGGGGAUCUUCGGACCUCACGCUAUCAGAUGAGCCUAGGUCGGAUUAGCUAGUUGGUGGGGUAAAGGCCUACCAAGGCGACGAUCCGUAACUGGUCUGAGAGGAUGAUCAGUCACACUGGAACUGAGACACGGUCCAGAAUCCUACGGGAGGCAGCAGUGGGGAAUAUUGGACAAUGGGCGAAAGCCUGAUCCAGGCAUGCCGCGUGUGUGAAGAAGGUCUUCGGAUUGUAAAACACUUUAAGUUGGGAGGAAGGGCAGUAAGUUAAUACCUUGCUGUUUUGACGUUACCAACAGAAUAAGCACCGGCUAACUUCGUG